CGAGGAAUGAUCAUACCUCAGUGAUUUUAUAUCUUUAUGGAAGUUUCUUUCACUCGAAUAUCGGCACCGGCGUGGAGUUUCGAUCACUAUAUAUAGGAGUUGUAUGUGAAAUUGGACAAUUAGUUCAGAACUUAAUCAUGCGCGCAAUCAAUCCGAGAAGAAUCAAGUCAGUAUAAUUCCAGAAAUUGUGUAAAUGAGUGAAACACAACGAAUACGGAAAUCAUUGUUGAUACUUGUCAUACUAAGAAAUAUAUAUAAAGCUUAGCACGAACGUUUCGUCUUCCUUCGACUUUCCCAACACUCAUUCAACUCGAAAUGUCCGAGUUGUCUGCUUUGAAUUUUCAGGUUUGAUUAUACUAUCAACGUUACGACAGCAAAAGUUUAAUCAGUUCCAUUAGCUAGACGACUAGACGGUGAACGAUGGAAUGAUGAACUCUCUCUGUUUCACUUGGUAGAACAUGAAGAAAUGAAUUAAACUGAAGGGAGUGGAAGAACGGCAUGCGCAGUCAGUAAAGAGCAUUUUAAUGUAGGCUACAUAUAACACACCUAUAGCAUGCAUGAUGUGACGCACCUACGCGACGAACGAACUGCACCCAUGCAUGCAUGCAUCUAUGUUGUAUGCAUUAUUUCAAAAACUCAGAGGAAAACACAACCUGAGAAAAAUCAUAAGCAUGUCGUAUCUUUAAUAUAUGUGAUAGAGAUUUCCAUUGAUUUACAUAAAAUAUAACUUUGAUUUUCUCGACU